AGUCACAUACUGCAUUCCGUUUCAUCUUUUGGUCACUCAACGGAAAACCAGUCAUCAGAUCAGAGGAGCUGCUAAAAUGAACAGACUCUUCUUGCUCAAUGCAUUGUUCUGCAUCGCAUAUGAAAUUCCAGCACAGCGCAUUGUCCAGCCACAUCUAUCAGUGACAGCCCAGCUUGGAGAGUCUGUGACUCUGGAGAGCUCUACAUCACAUAUUCAGCACCGCACUUUUACUUGGUUGAAUCAAGUAAUUGGACAGCCUCCUAAGUAUAUGGUGAUAUAUGAUGAACAAUCAAAGCCUACCUUUAUUGGAGAAUUUAUCAAUAAUUCACAUUUCAAAACACAAACAAAUUCCGGCAGUUUUACCCUCACAAUUUUAAAGACUGAAUCAUCGGAUGUGGCUGUUUAUUACUGCGCAGAGCUGAGAGACAGUCGUAUGCAUUUUAGGACUGGAACUGCACUGCUGCUUAAAGGUGUUGAAUGCAGAGGAGGGAUUCUUCAGCCUCCUCUCUCUGAAUCGGUGCAGUCUUACUAUUGUGCACUGGUGACAUGUGGGGAGGACAGUACUGGAAAUGGAACCGAGGAGGACACAGGAUAUUUCACUCCUCCUGUCAUUGUAUUGUCCAUGACAAACAUCGUGCUGCUGAUUACAAUGACUGCCCUUGUGUGCCUGUGCAUCCAGGAAGGGAGAUUUAAGUGCUGUUCAGAUCAGACUGUACAAGACCACACAAAUGUUGACUCAGCAAAUGAUCAGAAUCAGCAAAUGCUGGAUUAUGCUGCCUUGGAUUUCAAUCAGAGAAGAAAUAAACCGGAUAAAAAGAAGAGAGACGUGAAUAAAGAAAGUGUAUACACUGAAGUGCGAGUGCAGCAGAGGGAAUAACAAUCCAAACAUUCCAAACACAGGCUGCUGUAACACUCAGUCUGCAGAUAUAAUGCCAUUCUAGGGUUAAAGCAUUUCAUAUGCUCUGUGUUUUUACUCUUUUUUACUCUGUGGGUAUAUUGUGUGUUCUAUUGGGUUGAUUAAACAGCAGGGACAGUGUAGGCGUGUACAGUUAAAAGCGCUGCCCUGCACAAAAUAACAUCCUUUGCUCAAAAUCUUCAAUUGGCGGUCAAAGUAUUUAAUACUGCUGCAGUUUGUAUCACUUGAAUAGACCUCCAGUGCACAGAGAGCUCAUCAAUACUGUACUGGCAUCUCAUUUGAAUAGACCUCCAGUGCACAGAGAGCUCAUCAAUACUGUACUGGCAUCUCAUUUGAAUAGACCUCCAGUGCACAGAGAGCUCAUCAAUACUGUACUGGCAUCUCAUUUGCUCUCAGGAAGCUGCCUGUGUUCAGCUUUUUAAAUGUGUUUGUUUAUCAAAGUGUUAGAGGUCUUAAACUGAACAUGUACAUGGUACACAUUCAAAAGAUACUGAUAUUAAAUGAAGACCUUAUUUCUGUUUCCAUUGAUUAUUAUAUUCCAUAUUUAUAUUGUUAGAACAUUGUUUAAUUGUUUAAUUUGACUCUAUAGCAAUACAUGCUCAU